GAUGAAGUGAGGGGAAUGACACAGGCGCUGUGAUGUAGUGCUGGGCUCCUACUGACCUUCUGAAGCUCCCUCGGGAGGAUCAGGUGUUGCCCGACAAUGGACCACAGAUGACUGGAGCUGGGGAAAACAAAACAGCAGCAACUUCACUCCUCGGAAUUGCCUGGCAGAUAUCUUCGUACAUGUCCACCCAAGGAAGAUAUCCAAAGACCCUCGCUGCGGCAGUGUUUGUAAGAUUCUAAACUGGAAGCAGCCCCGAGCCCAUUAUGAGGAGCUGGUUAAAUAAACCGUGGUUCAGCCAUACCACAAAUGAAUAUGCAACGAUUAAAAAGACCGAAGGGGGUCUCCCUGUGCUGAUACUGCAAGAACUCCAGACUUACUUUUAAUUAAAAAAAAAAAAAAAAAAAAAAAAGAUGUCAGUGUAUACCCAAAUUCUUUCCCUGGAAGGAGACACAAACUGUUAAGAAUUAUUACCUUCGGG
rnacentral:lncRNA from 1 species